CCUAUGGGUGGCUGCAGUAGGGAAUAUUUCUCAAUUUUUUAAACCCUUAAUCAUCAACUCCUCGUUUAUGAUGAAGGUUUUCGGAUUGUAAACUCCUUUUGUUAGAGAAGAUAAUGACGGUAUCUAACGAAUAAGCACCGGCUAACUCCGUGCCAGCAGCCGCGGUAAUACGGAGGGUGCAAGCGUUACUCGGAAUCACUGGGCGUAAAGAGCGCGUAGGCGGGAUAGCAAGUCAGAUGUGAAAUCCUAUGGCUUAACCAUAGAACUGCAUUUGAAACUGUUAUUCUAGAGUAUGGGAGAGGUAGGUGGAAUUCUUGGUGUAGGGGUAAAAUCCGUAGAGAUCAAGAGGAAUACUCAUUGCGAAGGCGACCUGCUAGAACAUAACUGACGCUGAUGCGCGAAAGCGUGGGGAGCAAACAGGAUUAGAUACCCUAGUAGUC
rnacentral:rRNA from 1 species